rnacentral:rRNA from 1 species
AUUGAACGCUGGCGGCAGGCCUAACACAUGCAAGUCGAACGGUAGCACAGAGAGCUUGCUCUCGGGUGACGAGUGGCGGACGGGUGAGUAAUGUCUGGGAAACUGCCUGAUGGAGGGGAUAACUACUGGAACGGUAGCUAUACCGCAUAAUGUCGCAAGACCAAAGAGGGGGACCGUUAGGGCCUCUUGCCAUCAGAUGUGCCCAGAUGGGAUUAG